UAUCUCUUUCAUUCUUUUGUAUUCAUUUCUUCAUCCAUUUGAAGUUCUGAUUUCGAUUCAGAUCUACUCUUGUUCGUUUCUUUUCUCAAAUUUUUGUUAUGUUAUCCUUGUAGAUCGUGAAGUGAUCUACGUUCUCAGUAUGGCUUCAAUAGCUUUGCUGGGAUUGAUUGUUCGACGAGUGUUUGGUGCCGUCAACGGAGAAAAUCUGUGAAUCGCUUUGCAUCGAUGGAGAACGGUUAGAUCUGGGCUCAAUUCAGCUGACGGAUCAAUGUAACUCGCAGUUCUGUUGGUAAUAUACUAUGUUUUAAAAUUAUUUUAGCUUUAUUUCUAUGUUCAUAUAAUGAAUAAGACUUUCAUGUUGCUGUCUUGCUCAUAUUUGUAAUCAGCAGAUCUGUUGUUGAUAUCUGCUUUUUAUGAAAUUGUUAAUGUUUUUUAGUUUUUUGCAGGAUAAAGAAAUGGCUUCUGCUGACAAUUCGUUGCAGUUUACGCUCUUUUUAUGGUAUCUAUCCUCGUCAUGGUGUCCGAGCAGAGACAUCUAUUCUUGUUGAUGCUCAAGGCCCGAAAUCAUUUGCGGAUGCUGGAUGAUGGACUUAGAAAGGAUAAAAAUUCUGUCUACAUGGAUACAAGGUUCUAACAUGUUUAAUGGCUUUCAUAAUUAUGAUUCAUUUAAUGUUAAUUCGAAAAAAUGAGCUAGAAGUAGUUGUGACAAGAUAUUUAGAAAAGAGAGGCUAUGUGUAAGAAAAGAGUGGCUUAUGUUCGUCUCGCCGACCUUUGCCAUGUCGGGUGCGCUCACAUGGCAGGUCAAAAGCUCAAUAAAAUACAUAAUAUUUUUGAUUUUGAGGAGAGAUGGUACGGGGAUUUUUGCCCGGCUCUCUCCGCGUGUGGUGUCUUUUUAUUCUUUUCCUUUCUCUCCUCGUUCUCGUUUCUAUUGCUGCGAUAAUUUUAUUUCUGUUUGGUCCUUGAAUGGGUUGGGGCCUUUUCCUGUGUUACAAAGAUGUCAUGAAACCCGUUCAAGGAUAAAGCAUAAUUUAUUUUUUUCCCGGAGCAAAGUCACCAGUAAGUCGCCAAUGCCAGAAUGGGUCUUCUCAAGUAUCAACGAUUUCCCAAGGUACAAUGUUAGAUAUUUAUUAGCUAGCAUCUGAUUGAUUAAAAACAUUUCAAACUUACAAUUGUUUAGCCAUUCCAUCUCAUAUUAAAGUUGAGCGGUUAGAUAGGAAAGCUAUGUCUGCAAAAAUUAGGCUUUAUUUUGUGUUUCAAGAUUUAGCAGUUUUUGAUAAAAAGUUUGUUAAAAUGUGGAGAACAUAAACGCUGCUUGUCCCGAGAUGUUUUUGAUAAACUUUCAGCCAUGAUAUUUUUUAUUAAACAAGCUACAUAUUAACUUGCUUAAUAUAUUGGUAUUUUCUUGACCAUGUACCCAACUUCUUGCAAUCUCAUGAUUUGAUGGGUAACUUCUCGGAAUAUCCUUACUAUCUUGGAUUUUGGGUAAACACUCAAUUGAAAGCUUAAGAAUUUUUGAAUGGUGAUCAUUUAUUUCGUCCAUCUAUAAUUAAAUACCAUUCCUGAAUUUGCCGAAGAAUAGAAAGGCUCAAAUCAAUUUGUUGUCAUAAUGUUUUGGUGAACGUCAAACAUGGUUAUUUGGCAAAUCCAAUUUUACCGGAGAUAUCAUAAAUAUGUUUCACAUGUAAUUUACAUAUGGCAAUGUUAACAAAAUUAUCUUAUCUACUAUCCCGAUCCUGAAUUCGUAACAUUCACUAUGAAGAUCAAUCCUGAGCAACUAACAAUUUUCGCUUCAAUUCAGUUGUAUAGUACAAAGUACGAGCGGAAUUUAUUGCUUGUUGUAGCUUUAUUUUUCCUGGUCCUAUACAUAUAUGAAUCUUAUUCGUACUGUUUUUUACCUGGUGUUGAAUUUAUUUUGUCAUUCUUGGGUCAUUAUCCUGCUGGAGUGUAUUGUAGAUUUAUUGGUAUUGACCAGAAGCCUUCUUUCUGUAAUGUAAUUGAAGGCCAUUACGCAUGGUAUGUAGAUGAGGAAUGCAGAUCUUUUUGAUUUAUACACUAGAUCAGCGUUUCUCCAUUUUCCUUCCAUGGGAAAAUGUUUGCAACUUUUUGUGUCAUGUUGGUUUGGAUUGCCUCACGGAGUGGAAAUACAUGAAGAUGAUCCUGUUUGUUUUUGCUGUUGAUCCGCUGCUGCUGCCUCUGCCUCUGCCUCUGCCUCUGCCUCUGCUGCUGCUGCUGCUGCUAUUGCUAAACUUGAUACUUCAAGAUGCCUCAUCCUUCAAAGCAUCUAGAACCUGUGGAUUGCGAUGAAUGUUUGUGAUAUAUCUCAUUUAAUGCUUGUGCCAUGUUCAUUCCUUUGUGCUGUCCCUGCAAACUUGCUGAAGGUGCGUGCUGCUGCUGCUUGAUAUCUAUGAUUUGGCCAGUCCUGUGUUACAAUAUGCACAGGCUGAUCAUCAAAAUUCUUCACUCUUGAUACUGUUUUAGUGAACUGUUAAUCCUAUAAACGAUGCUAUUUGUUGAGUUCCUCAUUCACAAACUGGUGGCCAUAAAUGGUGUUAAUGUUCAUGACGGUUGUUGAUAUGGAUCUUGUAUCGCUUUGCUUCUGCACUAUAAGUUGUUUAUGUCGAUAAUUAUUCGAGGCGGUUGAUCAGUUACAGUUAUUUGAUGUAGUUCAUGGUAAUGGUAAUGGAUUUUUUUAGUGGAUUUAAUUGCGAUUUUUUUAGCGUUUAAUGUCUUAAUUUCUAUCUUAUGUUUUUGUAGGUGGACUUGGGAUCUAUUUCGUUGUGUUUAUAGGGAUGAACAUUAGCCUUGGGAGAAAGUUAAGUGAGGUACAUGUCCAAGGCGCUGUUUUAAAACCACUGUAAGUGGGAAUACAUUUAUAAUUGUAUUUACAAGUAAUAUAUAGUCGAGAAAUUUGCGUGUUGAGGUUUUGAUUAUUUUAUGUAUUUAGAGGAGAAAAUAAGCUAUGAAUGUUUAGUAGUUUUCCUUAUCCCUAAGAACUGUCGACCAAACAUACACUGCCUUGAGGCGGGUACCUGCUCGAUGCGUAUCUCAAAUUGCGUUGUCACAUUUAGCUUUAAAUUUUGAAUUUCGGCAGAAUUCUGAUGUGGAAAUCAAUUUUGCAACUGAGCUUGGUUUUUCGAUUAAUUUGGGACGAAAACGGAAUUUCAGUGUUGGUCCAGUUAAAAUUCUAUUAAUUUUGCAAACUGCUUUUUUUAAUUAAUGAAUUUUUUAGUUUUAUAUUAACUGAACUAAGCUCAUGUCUUUCCUCGUGUUUUAAAAAAUUCAUUUGUUAUAAAUUUAUUUUCAACUACAUGUUAUUUCACUAAAUAAUUCUGUACUUCAUUUUUUUUGGUUAAAUAGAACCGUACAUUUUAAAAAAUUUACUUUUUCAAAAUAUAUUUUCCUUGAAAAUGGGUUGUCAAAUUUAUUUAUUUUUGCAGCAGGGCCACAUGUUCGUUUGGCCUAUAUUAAUUUUUGUUUCAUUGUAUUUCAUUUUUUCCUUUCUUAUUUUUAACUGCACAAUCUUUUAUAAAGUAAUACGUAAAUCAAAAUGUUCUUUAAAAAAAAAAAGAAGCUUAUUUCACUCAUCUUUAUUAUCACAAAAUGGGUGCUAUUUUAAUUUGGAAUGCCGGAUGUUGACCGUGCAUAGUUGUAUUGCAUCCGAAUUCAAAUUCUUGGGUAACCAGCCUAAUCAUCACCUCUUGAGCGAAACUAUGAUAUGGAGAAAAGUUAUUAUCUAAUCCUCAAUAAAAGGGGAUGGGGUGCGACAUCUAUUUUUGAUAGGUCAAUUUAGUUACAUUCGUAGGUGGUUUUGGUGGAAAUUACUUGAAAAAUGUCUGGUGGGAAAAGAUUACCUUCAUUAAUAUUAUAUCGGUAUGUAUCACGGGGCAUUCUCUCAUAAUUUUAACUCUGCCAUUUGAUCAAACCAUGAUUUGGAAGAAGACUGAAUGAAGUGUGUGUGACACCGUGGGCAAUUAGAUUGGAAAUAACAAUGGGACAAAUUCCUAGUAGAAGCUUUAUAAUUUAACUCUGUUCUGAUUGGAUGGAUCCAGAAGCUCAAAAAUGGGAGUGCGCUCGAUUGCUUUUUGCAUUUGAGAGGUUGGUGGUUCGAAUCCACCUGGAUCCGCUAUUUUAUGGUUGUCAAGAAUUGAAAUUUUGUGUAGGUUUUUUUAUUGGAAAAUAUAGUAUUUAGAAAUUUCUUUUACAUGUUCUUUUACAUUUUGAGUUAUAGUUAAUGUGUAAUUUGCACGACUAAGAGGGGCCAAUGGAGAGGCACAAUUAUGCGUGUUGGAAUUUGGAAGAAACUUUUAAAGAAAUUUCUUAAUUGAAGACUUUCCAACAUAAUUUGAAGAAUUAUUAGGAAUUAAGUUUGCACUGUAUUCAUCGAAUAAUAAUUUGAUUUUUUAUUGACCUAUAUGAAAUGUAGAUCAAACUUAUUUGUUGUACAUUAUGUGCUUGUUUUUUCCAAUCCGUACGAACUAUGAAUAGAUUUUCAAUAGUUUUUUCUGUGCCACAUACAUUUAAAUAUGAAUAAUACCAUCUUAUGUCGGUAAUGUUGGAUAUAAGUUUAGAUAGCUAUUGAGGUUCACCUGUAUUGGUGUUAAAUAAGUUUAAAAUGUUCAAGGAUUUUUCCCUUUAGAACUCGAACUAUUAUUAUUUUUGAAUUAGAAAACUUGAACUGUUAUUAGCGAAAAACAAUCCUAUGCAAAAUAUGUUAUGAAAAUAAAUAUAAAGGGAAAACUGUUGAUAUCAAUUGAUUUUAUAAGUUGGUUUUUGAUCAAUUAUUUAAGGCAAACUUGUUAGAUACAUAAUUUCUUUAGUCGGAUGUGUUCAACUUUACGAGUAUAUUAACGUAGUUUACUUGGCUUCUCAAAAUCAAUGAAUGAGUGAGGAAUUAAGGUAGAAAAAGGAGCUGCUUGGGCUUGGAAAUUUUGCAGUCUAAUAUUAAUGGAAAAAUAAAGUCAUUUGUCCCACGUUGAAAAAUAGUUUACUUUAAAUUGCUCUAGUUGGAGUAAAUGGUUUUGGUCCGUCUUUGGUGGGGGGCCCUAUAUGUUGGUGGCCCCACAGGCAUGUAGCGUCAGUCGAGUUGGGCUCGAUUGUUGGUUAUGUGUCGUGGGCUUAGGAAUCAAUCAAAUCGUGAUAAGUGGAUUGUGACACGUGGCACAUUAUACGUGAUUCUGUAUCAUAGAAUGUCAUGUGUCAGGUUCUAAGAAGGUGACUGUCAAUCCUUUGGUCAAAUCUGAACGGGUCUAUGAAUAAUGAGAAAUGUUAGGUGAGAGGAGUGAAACCCCUUCGAUUAAAAAAAAAAAAAAAAAAAAAGAAAAAAAAAGUUGAACCUUAACUUUGAAGGUCUUUAGCGUCCCAUCCUUAAAGUUUUGUGAGGAGGAUAUUUUUUAAAAUAAAUAGACAAAAGAUUUUAAUGGAUGAUAAUGACAAAUUAAGCACUGAAAGUUCCUUUGAUCCCAUGUUGCAAACCAAAUAAUUGUAUCCAAUUGGAAGCUUGAAGAAUUCUUAUAUUCGUUGUUUAUUAACUUAGAAUCUGUUUGCCAGCUUUUCCAUUUUUGCUUUCACUUGUAUAAGAAUUUCUUGAGGAAGUUAUUUAUAUCAAUUUUCUUUAAGUAUUUUUCUAUUUAAACCAAGCACUUGCAUAAUAUUAUCCAAAUAUUUUCAAAAACAAUUUUUUAAUUUCAAAAAUAACUUUUAACUUUUUGAAAGUCUUAUCAAACAUGCCUUUAAUCUCGUUAAUUUGCUAUAGUUUAUUAAUGAAGCUAUUUGGUCCACGAUAGGCAAUAUUCUCUAUAAGAAUAAUUAACAUCAAAAUGUUCUUACAUUUUAAUGUUAAUGUAUAAAAUAUUUAUACAUUUUUAUCUUUUUGACUUUUUACCCUUACUUUUAUAUUUCAUUGCGAAAAUUAUCAUUUUCAUAUAUUUUUCUCAGUUGAAAAGGUUAUAAAAUGACGAAUAUACAAACCUAUUUAAAUGAAGCAAAAAUAAAGAAAAGAAAAAUAAUGAACAAAUCGCAUCUAUUUAUCACUUUCUUUUUUAAUUAUUUAAUUGUAUUUUUUGAAAUUUUUUGGAAUAUAGUUGCAAUUUGUUAUUUAUUUUUCUUUUCUUUAUUUUUGUUUUAUUUAAAGAGGGAUAUAUUAAUCAUUUUACAGCUUUUAAUUGAAAAAAAUAGAUGAAAAUGAUUAUUUUCAUAAUGAAAUGUGAAAAAAAAUGGUGAAAAUGUCAAAAAAUAAAUGGUAGAAACAUUUUGCACAAUCAUAUUAAAAGAUGGAAAGCUUUUGUGUUAAUUACCUUUCUAUAUCACUCUAUUCUAAAAAAAUAACUUUUAAUUUUUGAAUGUUCUACAAAACGAGUUCUUGUCAAUUUGUAAUAAUUUUUUAAUUAAUUAAGCUGUCUCGUCCACAAUUAGCAAUAAAGAGAGGAAAUUACAGCCUGGCCGGUAUUUAAAGAUCCAAUUUCAUAAACCAAGGAUUAAGUUUCAUAAUACAAAAAUCAGGUUUUAAUUAAUAUUUUAUUAUGCUUUAAAUAAAUAUUUAUUCAUCUUGAAUGCUUCCGCUUUUAACUUGAAAAUUACAGAGAGAAAGUUUUCAAAAUAGUAAACAAUCUCUUAGAAACUGUAAAAUCUUCGAACAUACCCCCUAUCAAUCAAUAAAACCAAAUUGAUUUUUACCCAAAUUUCACAAAUAUAUCCUACUUCAUUUCAAUCGACAGUCAAACCUACUACCUCAUUCUCUCAUGGUACCUAAGCAAAAUCUCUAAAGUCGCGCAAUUCUGUUUGCUUUCCAAGAAGAUCGAACAUGGAGGGAAGGGUUGGUAUCGGUAAUCUUGUAAAAUGGCCAUUACGAAGAGUUGUGACCGGAAAUCUCGAUCCAUUUUCGGCGACACGUCUAGAAGUGAACUAGGAAAGAGAAGAAGCCCGAAAGUAAAAAAGAGAGUUCGUGAAGAAAUCCCCAAAACGCCGACUGACUCGUGAAAAUCAAAAUCGAAAACUGUAAGUUGAUUUUUUUUUUUCCUUUGAGAUUAUGGGUAAUCCAUUUUUCUAAUCAAUUUGGGUGAGUAUGAAUAGCAUAUCGUUAAUUUGUUAGGAAAUCUUUCCAAUAAUAUUUAUGUGAACAAUGCGCGAAAUGUGGAUUGUGCCCAAUAUUAUGAACUAUCUUCAGAUUGUGAGAUGUUUUCGUGUGGCCACCCUGAUUUGUGUGACUAAUGCCUGAAAUGUUUGUGACCAAGAUAAUGAAAUAUCAUUAUAUUGUGAGAUGUUCUAGUGUGCUAGAUUUUGGUGCUUGCAUAGGCAAUCUCAUUGUAAAUGCUGUGAUGGGGGGAUUCUGGGAAUCAAUGCAAUAACUAUAUUGUAGCAUAAAUGAAAUCAUACACCACACUAUUUAGGAAUAUGGAUUGUGGCCAAUAUGAGUGUGACCAAUAUAGGUUGUGACCAGUAUUAUUUGUGUGAACAAUGCAUGAAAUGUAGAUUGUGACCAAGAUUAUGAACUAUCUUCAUAUUGUGAGAUGUUUUUGUGUGACCAAUAAGGAUUGUGACCACCCUGAUUUGUGUGACCAAUUCGUGAAAUGUGGAUUAAGACGAAGAUUAUGAAAUAUCUUGAUAUUGUGAGAUGUUUUCGUGUGACCAAUAUGGAUUGUGACCACACUAAUUGUGGAUUGUGAUCAAUAUUAAGAACUAUCCUUAGAUUGUGAGAUAUUUUUGUAAUGGUUCGUCGACAGUAAAAUGUUCUUGAUUUCGUGCACAAUGUAAAUAUGAUGUGAUCAAUUUGAGAAUCCGACAUGUUUACCCUCUCUUUACUGUGAUGCAGGAAUGGAAGUAUAUUAUCCUGAGAGAUUGUUGAUUUUCGGGUAAAAUUACAAUCAAUACGAAAAAGACUGUUUUGUCAAAUUUCACAUCGAAAUUCACUGAUGAACAACUGGCUAUCCUAGCAGACACAUGCGUUUCAUACUACAUGGAAUGCCACGAAAUCAUAUUGCAGCCCCAAUUGAUGCUAGACGAGCUAGGUUGGACAUUGCUACAUUACUCUUUAAACAUAAAGAGAUCAAGAGGUCGACAACACGGGUGAAGCCAAGGGGAGAGAUAUUGAAAUUGAAUGAUUAUAGAAUUUUAGUUUAGUGGCUAGUAGAUUUGCGAUUUUUUUGAUAUUUUGAAAUGUUGGGAACAGAUACAUGGAAAUUUCG
rnacentral:lncRNA from 1 species